rnacentral:rRNA from 1 species
GAUGAACGCUAGCGGCAGGCCUAAUACAUGCAAGUCGAGCGGCAAGUCGAGGAGUAAUCUAAGACCUAGAGCGGCGCACGGGUGCGUAACGCGUAUGCAACCUACCUUAUACUGGGGGAUAGCCCGGAGAAAUCUGGAUUAAUACCCCAUGGCACAUAUUGAUGGCAUCUGAGAUAUGUUAAAGAUUUAUUGGUAUAAGAUGGGCAUGCGUCUGAUUAGCUAGUUGGCGGUGUAACGGACCACCAAGGCGACGAUCAGUAGGGGUUCUGAGAGGAAGGUCCCCCACACUGGCACUGAGAUACGGGCCAGACUCCUACGGGAGGCAGCUAGUAGGAAUAUUGGGCAAUGGUCGGAAGACUGACCCAGGCCAUGCCGCGUGCAGG